GUCGAGAGGCUUCGGCAAUGGGGGAAACCCUGACCGAGCGACGCCGCGUGAGGGAUGAAGGCCCUUGGGUUGUAAACCUCUUUUGUUGGGGAAGAAAUGCGAUCAGGUGAACAAUCUGGUCGUUUGACGGUACCCGACGCAUAAGCUCCGGCUAACUCCGUGCCAGCAGCCGCGGUAAUACGUAGGCAGCAAGCGUUGUUCGGAGUUACUGGGCGUAAAGGGUGUGUAGGCGGUUCUUUAAGGUUGUCGUGAAAUCUCCCGGCUCAACCGGGAGGGUGCGGCGAAUACUGAGGAGCUAGAGUGCGGGAGAGGAGGGUGGAAUUCCUGGUGUAGCGGUGAAAUGCGUAGAUAUCAGGAGGAACACCGGUGGUGUAAACGGCUCUCUGGACCGUAACUGACGCUGAGACACGAAAGCGUGGGUAGCAAAC
rnacentral:rRNA from 1 species